rnacentral:rRNA from 1 species
GAUGAACGCUGGCGGCGUGCCUAACACAUGCAAGUCGAACGGUAAGAGCAUGCUUGUGUGUGGUUAUCGUGGGGAAAGCGGGUGUGUAACGCGUGAGUAACCUACCCUUUACUGGGGGAGGAACGCGAGAAAGUGGGGAAAAUACCACAUCUGAACUCCUCCGGAAGGAAGAGGGGUGGAAGCUCGCGUGGAGUGGGUGGGGGCGCGGCUCUUUGGCUCGUUGGUGGGGGAGCGGCCUACAAAGGCAAUGUAGGGUAGCCGGGUUGUGAGAGGGACCAGCCACAUUGGGACUGAGAUACGGCCCAGACUCCUACGGGAGGCAGCAGUGGGGAAUCUUGCACAAUGGGCGGAAGCCUGAUGCAGCGACGCCGCGUGCGGGAUGAAGGCCUUCGGGUUGUAAACCGCUUUCAGCUGAGACGAAGCGUGAGUGACGGUACCGGCAGAAGAAGCACCGGCUAACUACGUG